rnacentral:rRNA from 1 species
AACGAACGCUGGCGGCAGGCUUAACACAUGCAAGUCGAACGGACGUAGCAAUACGUUAGUGGCAGACGGGUGAGUAACGCGUGGGAAUGUGCCCUUUAGUUCGGAAUAACACAGAGAAAUUUGUGCUAAUACCGGAUAAUCCCGAGAGGGGAAAGAUUUAUCGCUGAAGGAGCAGCCCGCGUCUGAUUAGCUAGUUGGUGAGGUAAUGGCUCACCAAGGCGACGAUCAGUAGCUGGUCUGAGAGGAUGAUCAGCCACACUGGGACUGAGACACGGCCCAGACUCCUACGGGAGGCAGCAGUGGGGAAUAUUGGACAAUGGGGGCAACCCUGAUCCAGCCAUGCCGCGUGAGUGAUGAAGGCCUUAGGGUUGUAAAACUCUUUUGUCCGGGAAGAUAAUGACUGUACCGGAAGAAUAAGCCCCGGUAACUUCGUG